UGGGGAAUUUUGGACAAUGGGCGAAAGCCUGAUCCAGCAAUGCCGCGUGUGUGAAGAAGGCCUUCGGGUUGUAAAGCACUUUUGUCCGGAAAGAAAUGGCUCUGGUUAAUACCUGGGGUAGAUGACGGUACCGGAAGAAUAAGGACCGGCUAACUACGUGCCAGCAGCCGCGGUAAUACGUAGGGUCCAAGCGUUAAUCGGAAUUACUGGGCGUAAAGCGUGCGCAGGCGGUUGUGCAAGACCGAUGUGAAAUCCCCGAGCUUAACUUGGGAAUUGCAUUGGUGACUGCACGGCGAGAGUGUGGCAGAGGGGGGUAGAAUUCCACGGGUAGCAGUGAAAUGCGUAGAGAUGUGGAGGAAUACCGAUGGCGAAGGCAGCCCCCUGGGAUAACACUGACGCUCAUGCACGAAAGCGUGGGGAGCAAACAGG
rnacentral:rRNA from 1 species